rnacentral:rRNA from 1 species
UACGUAGGCAGCAAGCGUUGUUCGGAGUUACUGGGCGUAAAGGGUGUGUAGGCGGUUGGGUAAGUGUGGUGUGAAAUCUCCCGGCUUAACUGGGAGGGUGCGCUACAAACUGUCUGACUAGAGUGUGGGAUGGGUAAGUGGAAUUCCUGGUGUAGCGGUGAGAUGCGUAGAUAUCAGGAGGAACACCGGUGGUGUAGACGGCUUACUGGACCAUAACUGACGCUGAGACACGAAAGCGUGGGUAGCAAACAGG